GACAUAUUUUUGGUAUUUUAGUUAGUAAAAAUAAAGAAAACUGAAGUAUGAUACAAUCAAAAGUGCUUGGUGAUCUCUCCCAAUACAAACCCAAUUAAUGAGGGAUAAGGAGGAUGCCAAGGUGUGAUCCCAAUGCUAAUGCAUAUGAUGAGAAUAGCAUGAGGAAUCUUAGGGUCAAAAUUGGGGUCUUACAGAUAGUCUCUUCUUCUCCUCCCUUCUUU
rnacentral:lncRNA from 1 species